AUUGAACGCUGGCGGCAGGCCUAACACAUGCAAGUCGAGCGGUAACACAGAGGAGCUUGCUCCUUGGGUGACGAGCGGCGGACGGGUGAGUAAUGCCUGGGGAUCUGCCCGAUAGAGGGGGAUAACUACGGGAAACUGUAGCUAAUACCGCAUAAUGUCUACGGACCAAAGUGGGGGCUCUUCGGACCUCAUGUUAUCGGAUGAACCCAGGUGGGAUUAGCUAGUUGGUGAGGUAAUGGCUCACCAAGGCGACGAUCUCUAACUGGUUUGAGAGAAUGACCAGUCACACUGGAACUGAGACACGGUCCAGACUCCUACGGGAGGCAGCAGUGGGGAAUAUUGCACAAUGGGCGCAAGCCUGAUGCAGCCAUGCCGCGUGUGUGAAGAAGGCCUUCGGGUUGUAAAGCACUUUCAGCGGGGAGGAAGGGUCACUAGUUAAUACCUAGUGGCAUUGACGUUACUCGCAGAAGAAGCACCGGCUAACUCCGUGCCAGCAGCCGCCGUAA
rnacentral:rRNA from 1 species